rnacentral:tRNA from 1 species
AGCAUGGUGGCUCAGUGGUCAGCACUGUUGCCUCACAGCAAGAAGGUCCUGGGUCCGAAUCCCGGCCAUCCCA